rnacentral:rRNA from 1 species
GAUGAACGCUGGCGGCGUGCCUAAUACAUGCAAGUCGAGCGAACAGACGAGGAGCUUGCUCCUCUGACGUUAGCGGCGGACGGGUGAGUAACACGUGGAUAACCUACCUAUAAGACUGGGAUAACUUCGGGAAGCCGGAGCUAAUACCGGAUAACAUGUUGAACCGCAUGGUUCAACAGUGAAAGACGGUCUUGCUGUCACUUAUAGAUGGAUCCGCGCCGCAUUAGCUAGUUGGUAAGGUAACGGCUUACCAAGGCAACGAUGCGUAGCCGACCUGAGAGGGUGAUCGGCCACACUGGAACUGAGACACGGUCCAGACUCCUACGGGAGGCAGCAGUAGGGAAUCUUCCGCAAUGGGCGAAAGCCUGACGGAGCAACGCCGCGUGAGUGAAGAAGGUCUUCGGAUCGUAAAACUCUGUUAUUAGGGAAGAACAAAUGUGUAAGUAACUAUGCACGUCUUGACGGUACCUAAUCAGAAAGCCACGGCUAACUACGU